UAAGGACAAAGACUAAAAUACAAAGUUAUGUCUACAAAAGAGGACAGAAACAAUACCCUAGCAUCUCUAUACUUGUUGAAAUCCCCUAUCACUCGAUAGGAAAAGAGGGAGAAUUUAUUUCAGUACCUAGAGAUGCCAUUAAAGAAAAAUAAAACUACAAAAAGAAAAAAAAUUAAAUACAAAUUCUUCAAUUAUAACAAUAGCCACCUAC
rnacentral:lncRNA from 1 species